ACGCAAGACGUCACUGGCUUGAACGGGAAGGUCAAUAGUAGUGGAGCGCGCGGCCGCUUUUCGCUUUGGGUUUCCGGCGCGUGCGCUUGGCGGUCUAGGUGCCGCGGAUCGUAGCCCGAUUCUAACCUCUGAUGCCCGUGUUUUAGCUCGGCCCCAGCGCCCAUAUGCUGUGCCGGCUUGGCGGUAGGUGGCUGCGGCCGCUGCCUGCACUGCAGUUAGGAGUCCGGGUCCCGCCUCUUGCGCCAACCUCGACGGGCGCCAUUAAGCACUCUGCUCUGCCCGCUUGGGCGGUGGCGUCAGUGUCUGCAGUGGGCUCCGGCGGCCCUGGCAGCUGGUACGAGGCCCUGGCCGCGUCGGCGCCGGUGCAGGGCGCGGAGGAGGUGCUACUCGGCGUGCACACCGCCACGGGUCUGCCCUGGUGGGCCUGCAUCGGCCUCACCACCGUGGCUCUGCGCGGCGCCGUCACUCUACCCCUGGCCGCCUACCAGCACUACAUCCUGGCCAAGGUGGAAAAUUUGCAGCCAGAAAUAAAAAACAUUGCAAGGCAUCUUAACCAAGAAAUUGCAAUUCGUGCAAAUCAGUUGAAAUGGUCCAAAAGAGCUGCAAGACUCACUUAUCUAAAGAAUAUGCGGAGGCUUGUUUCAGAGCUGUAUGUUCGGGACAACUGCCACCCUUUCAAAGCCACUGUGUUGGUCUGGAUUCAGUUUCCAAUGUGGAUCUUCAUGUCCAUUGCCCUCCGGAAUUUUAGCACAGGAGCAACACAUUCAGAAGCAGGUUUUUCUGUUCAGGAACAGUUGGCUAAUGAUGGGAUCCUGUGGUUUCGUGACCUCACCGCACUGGAUUCCACUUGGAUUCUGCCUAUCUCUGUUGGUGUCAUCAAUUUACUAAUAGUGGAGAUUUUUGCUCUGCAAAAAACUGGAAUGUCUCGUUUUCAGACGUAUAUUACGUACUUCGUUCGUGCAGUAUCAGUGUUGAUGAUUCCAGUUGCUGCGACAGUACCUUCAGUGACAGCCACAAAAGAAAGCCACCUCGUAAGAGCUUUGAACUAUCAGUGGCUGCAAUGCCGACAAAGCAAACUGAAAUAAAUGAACCAGACGUCAUCAGAUAAGGACAGACAUUGUCACGGAGAGGAAUGGUGACUCUUGAACAAAAACAAAAGGAAUGAUGAAAAAAUCUUUAUUCAGUAAUUGUGUUGCUCUAAUGUUGCAUUGUUAUUUUGGAACUCUUAUUGUUAGGUAAAAUAUAUAACGUCUGUUGGGUAUCUUAAGUUUUCUUUGGAUGCUGUAACACAUUCCUUUAUGGCACUUCGGCAACUAAGAGGAAGAUGUUAUUGACUAUAUUUGUUGGAGAUUUAUUUUAAAAAUUUGUAAGUGAAGUAUAGUUGAUGUACAGUAUCAUAUUAGUUUCAUGAUAUUGCAGCACAGUGGAGAUACAUAAGAUAAAUUCUUUUCAAGUUUUUCUUUUAAGAUAGCUUCAGGGAUCACCCCUGAGAAAGAAAGUGGUCCCACAAAGAGGGUCCUGCCUCCCUGCGGUUCACCACCACCAUACUCAGAAAGCCUAGCCUUCAUACCUGUUUGACUUAAGACCUUCCACAAUCUCAGUUAGGAACUAUACAUAAAAGCAUUUUGGUCCUGGUUGAUUUCCAUCCGUAGGAACAUUAGACCCGGCCAAUACCACAAGGGGAAAAAAGUUACCAGCUUGGCAAUGGCAGCAAAAUUCCCACGAAUCCGCUAAACCAAGAAAGUGCUUUCAUACAGAGGCCUUGCCUAGUUCUUAGAGCCAUAACCUUAUGCUCUUCUGUAACUUGAACGUGAGGGAGAUCCUGAUACAAUUGCCCCAAAGGAAUUGCAGAGAGAACCCUGGCCCCUUGCGUUCGAUCACAGACUGCCUUCUUGAAUGCCCUGUGUUUUGCUGCAUUUCUGCAUGUUCCAACCGUAGUACAAAUAAUUUGAGGAAUUUCUUCUAAUUACAACCUCAAGCCUCCUGGAUCUUCUGUGAGUGAUGGCUGCUUCUGAGGAUAAAAGCAUGGAUAAAAGAAGAAUUUCAUUUGUUCCACAUGGAAGAUACAAAAUAUAUUUGAGUGAUUGGAUGGAUGGAUCUUUGUGGAUAAUCAUUAAUCAAAUUUACAUAAUCAUUUUCAUGAAUAAGGGAACAUUUGCUAUUCUAAGCUAAGUUGACAAAAAGAGGGGGCUACGGAGGGUUUCACUGAGAAGAUAAGUUGUAAUGCAAGGAUGUAUUAACUUCGAAGUGGAAAAGUGGAAGGAGAAAAGCGAUGGCAAGGCGAUGGUUGGAAAUGGGAGAGUGCCAUGAUCUGUUGAGGAAAUGGCAAAGAAAAAAGUUUCCAUACAAUCAUCCCCAUUGUUCAGAUGGAGAGUUGGGGAUUAGUGAGAUAACAAGUGCUGUGUCCAGAGGUGUGAUGUGAUUUGCCUAAAUUCAGCUCCAGUGGCCAGAGUAACACGUAAGUAUUACUUGUUGGUGGAAGGAAGGCUUGGUGAAAGGAAGGAUUGAUGGAGAGAUAAGGGAUCUCAUGGGAUCCAGUAUUCUAGAGAAACAUCCUGAGAAAGUUGCCUAACAGAUAAUUUAGUGUGGAGGAAGCUAGCAUCCAGGCUAGAAGCCCAUGUGGUGAGGAACUGAGACCUCACUCACCAACAGCCAUAUGAGUGAGCAAUCUGGAAGUGGUACCUUCAGCCCCAGUUGGGCCAUCAGAUGAAACUGCAGUGUCUGCCAGUACCCUAACUACAACCUUAUGAGAGUCUCUGAGCCAGCGCCACCCAGAUAAGUCUCCUCAGGCCAAGGAAACAAAAG